GGAUAGCUCAGUUGGUAACAGCAUGAGAUUCUUAAUCUCAAGGUUGUGGGUUCGAGCCCCACGUGGGGCA